rnacentral:sRNA from 1 species
CCCACAGGGUGUGGUUCACACAGUUGGGGGCUACAUGCUCUAUGUAGCCACAACCUUCAAGUAUGUGUUUGACUUCCAUGCGGAGGAUGUGUUCUGGUGCACGGCAGACAUUGGUUGGAUCACUGGUCAUUCCUACGUCACCUAUGGGCCACUGGCCAAUGGUGCCACCAGUGUUUUGUUUGAGGGGAUUCCCACAUAUCCGGACGUGAACCGCCUAUGGAGCAUUGUGGACAAAUACAAGGUGACCAAGUUCUACACAGCACCCACAGCCAUCCGUCUGCUCAUGAAGUUUGGAGAUGAGCCUGUCACCAAGCAUAGCCGGGCAUCCUUGCAGGUGUUAGGCACAGUGGGUGAACCCAUCAACCCUGAGGCCUGGCUAUGGUACCACCGAGUGGUAGGUGCCCAGCGCUGCCCCAUCGUGGACACCUUCUGGCAAACAGAGACAGGUGGCCACAUGUUGACUCCCCUUCCUGGUGCCACACCCAUGAAACCUGGUUCUGCUACUUUCCCAUUCUUUGGUGUAGCUCCUGCAAUCCUGAAUGAGUCCGGGGAAGAGUUGGAAGGUGAAGCUGAAGGUUAUCUGGUGUUCAAGCAGCCCUGGCCAGGGAUCAUGCGCACAGUCUAUGGGAACCACGAACGCUUUGAGACAACCUACUUUAAGAAGUUUCCUGGAUACUAUGUUACAGGAGAUGGCUGCCAGAGGGACCAGGAUGGCUAUUACUGGAUCACUGGCAGGAUUGAUGACAUGCUCAAUGUAUCUGGACACCUGCUGAGUACAGCGGAGGUGGAGUCAGCACUUGUGGAACAUGAGUCUGUUGCAGAGGCAGCUGUGGUGGGCCACCCUCAUCCUGUGAAGGGUGAAUGCCUCUACUGCUUUGUCACCUUGUGUGAUGGCCACACCUUCAGCCCCAAGCUCACCGAGGAGCUCAAGAA